UGCCCACCGCACUCUGCAGAGCAUAGCAUCCAUCAUCCCCAUGCUGGUGGCCAUGUCCUGCCUGGGGUCCCUCAAUGGAAAUAUCUUCACAAUGUCCAGGAUGCUGUUUGUGGGAGCCAGGGAAGGCCACUUCCCGGCUCUGCUCUCUAUGAUUCACAUCCGCAGAGAGACACCCCUGCCAGCGGUACUGAUGAUGUACCCUCUGGUGGUGGUGAU